UAUUGCAGCUGAUGCCCUAUUUGGGCUUCCCAGAAAAAUAGUCUGGGACCAGCAUUGAGGGUCCCAAACAUGCUCGGUGGUUCUUUUGUGACCAAGACAAAGUUGACUGCUUUGUAGGAAGUGCAUUAGACACACCAACUGAGGUACACUGGAUUUUGAAGAAUGGGAUGCAUCUCACAAUCAGUUUAGUUUCCCUAGCCCUCUUCUGUGUGACUUGUGUUUGUGUGUAUAACCAACAGCUGGGCUAAUGUUGAAAAAGUUAAAAGGUUUGAUUGAAAUCAGGAGAAGCCAUUUAUCCUUGGUGAUGAGGCUCUAGCAUUGGAAUAUUCUGUCCAUACAAAUAUUUUUUAAAUUGAACACACUAGAUGAAACAUGAACUGCUUGGUGAAUGUGACUUUUUCCACUCAUGCUUAUUCACUUCAUUUUACAGGAGUGGGCGAGGAAGCGCUGUGAUCCAAAACCCAGAAACUGGACAUAACUGGUGUGUUUAGGAUGGCGUGCAGGCACGAGCAUCCGCUGAAGUUCCUGAACCUGAAGAGAGGAGAGAAUCAUUUCCUGUUUGCAACUGCUGUGUUCCUGCUGGGGGACCUGAAAGCAAUGCAGGGACCAGACAUCACAACGUCUCUUCACUAUGACAUUGCAUGCCAGCUGAAGCCUCAUUUACAGUCUCGAUCUGAGGGUGGACACAUUUACAGUGCCAGCCUUUCAUGCCUAAGCUCAUGAUGCUGACAGUCAGGUAAUGAAUACAUUUUUUUCUUUAUCAUUUAUUCUGUUAAACACCAAUUCUUUGUAGUUGCAGACAGUUGCCCUAACAGUAUUAAGAAACAGCUAGUUGUAAUUUGUCCUAGUCCCUUAAUCAUCACCCAUUGUAAUGCUUAUUCUGGUUUCUGAUUGUACUUUACAUUUCAGGUCACUGAUGGUACCAGGUAUGUGACUGUG
rnacentral:lncRNA from 1 species